CGUAUGGUGCAAGCGUUAUCCGGAUUUACUGGGUGUAAAGGGAGCGCAGGCGGUGCGGCAAGUCUGAUGUGAAAGCCCGGGGCUCAACCCCGGUACUGCAUUGGAAAACUGUCGUACUAGAGUGUCGGAGGGGUAAGUGGAAUUCCUAGUGUAGCGGUGAAAUGCGUAGAUAUUAGGAGGAACACCAGUGGCGAAGGCGGCUUACUGGACGAUAACUGACGCUGAGGCUCGAAAGCGUGGGGAGCAA
rnacentral:rRNA from 1 species